rnacentral:lncRNA from 1 species
UUUGCACAUAUUUGUUUCAGUUUAUUUAUAUCCCAUCUCCUCCCCCCCGCCAAAGAAUCAAAAUGUUGUACACGUGGUUCUGCCCCUCCUCAUUUAAGCUCAACAACAACCCUGUGAGGUAGCUUAGGCUGAGAGGCAGUGGGUCCAAGGUCACCCAAUGAGGUUCAUGGCCAAGUGGAGAUUUGAACUCAGGUCUCCUAGGUCCUAGCUUGGCACACAAGCCACUGCCCCGCACUGGCUCUCUGAUUUAGGAUACCUGUGAACCAAUGCAAUGUUCAGGAGGCACUCUGGCUGAAACCAGAACUCCCAUAGGAGGACAAGGCAUUUCUUGCCACGGGGCAUUAUUAGAUGGCUCAGAGCUUCAUGUUAACCAGUCGCCGGGCAUGCUGUGUCGUCUGUCCGCUCCUGGUAAAAAAUGGUUGCUAGGAGGACAAUGUUCCAUGGAUACUCGCUGCUAGAGCCCAUAGUGUUCUAUAGAAAGUGGUUGCUAGGGGGACAUUGUUUCUGCAAUGCUUCUACUCUUAUUGCUCCCCUCUUUCCUUCAGAGAUGUCGCAGAAGACUGAACAGCUCCCCCAGGAAACAGUAGACUCAUGCAAGCAAGCCCCUCUGUGUCAGCUCUGAAAGUAAGGCUGAGGGUAUUGAUUGAAUUAUUAUUAUUAUUAUUAUUAUUAUUAUUAUUAUUAUUAUUAUUUAUACCCCGCCUAUAUGGCUGGCUUUCCCCAGCCACUCUGGGCGGCUUCCAACAAAACACUAAAAUACAAUAACCUAUUAAACAUUAAAAGCUUCCCUAAACAGGGCUGCCUUCAGAUGUCUUCCAAAAGUCAGAUAGUUGUUUAUCUCCUUGAUAUCUGGUGGGAGGGCGUUCCACAGGACGGGUGCCACUACCGAGAAGGCCCUCUGCCUGGCUCCCUGUAACUUAGCUUCUCGCAGCAAGGGAACUGCCAGAAGGCCCUCGGCGCUGGACCUCAGUGUCCGGGCUGAACGAUGGAGGUGGAAUAAGCUCAGAAUGGUUAGAUCUGGCACUUGUUAUGCUGCAAGGAUGGAGAACCUUUUCCAGUUCAAGGGCCACCUUCAGCUGUGGGUGGGGCCAGCGGCAUAAGUGGCAGAACCGCAAAUGUAUAUUUUGCUGUUGUACAGUAGGCUACUUUCCACAAACACCCACGCUCUACCCCCGCAUCCAAGCCAGUUGAAAACAUUCAAAUGCCUUCCAGCCAGAUGAAACUUUCAAGGAGGGAGUGCACCUUUGGGAGUGAAGUCAAACUGCUCUGUUAGCAGCACUGAAGUGCAAGCCUGGGCAGUGUGUCUGAAGGUCCUGGGAUGCCCAGACGACAAGACACCCCCCCUCUCAAGCCCGCUGGUGUGGUCCAAAGGAAAGCAGAGCAAAACAUUUGGUAGCAGCUUGGAGUUGCCGGAAGGAGGCGUACAAGGCCUCAUCCAACCACCUUAUGGACUCCACUCCGGAUUUGUGUAGGGUUUACUCCUUAGCCUUUACUUCUCCUGAAGAUAUCCGGCAAGGCAGCAGAGGCUGAGGACCAGAGCUUUCCUUCUUCCAGAUGGGCUACCUGUGGGAUGUGAAACACAAGAGCAGUCAACAUCCCUAGAGUAGACAUAAAAGGGGAUGUCUGGACCAGCCAGUCAGAACUUCCUGUUUCUCCUAGGCUGGGACAGACUUCCUCUGCAUGUGACUAGAGGUGGCAUGGCCUCACCUGCCCAGGUAACAAAAGAGCAGGACUGGUCAGCCAUCUCUCUCUCUCUGACUGCAUUCGUCGAAGAAGCAACAUCUGCCUAGCCUAAGAUGCUCUCAGCCACGAGAGGACAAAGGGACUGUCUCUUUAUGGGAUAGAUUCCAGGUAUAUUAGUUUUCUAACUUAAGUGUGCCUUCUGGGGUCCAUUUGUGAACAGAAUGUGAGUGCGUAAACUCUUUUUAUACUUUCAUAGAUGACUGUGUCGUGUCUAUCUUUUUAUGAGGGACUAAAGGGGAAAUUACCAAGGAAACUUAUUUUAGAGGCUUUAGCGAGCCUGAGCAAACACAUCCACUGUGCAAGUUUAGAAAGGGGAAUGUUACUCUGCUAAAUUGUAGAACUUGUUAACACAAGUUGGAAAGGAUAUAAUCAAACAAUAUAUCCUCUCCUGCAUCCCUGAACAUUCCCACGCUACCUUCCAAGGUUGACAAGCCCCAUCUGCCCCUCACUUCCAUCUACAGCACUUGAAGAAACCGCCUUCUGGACUGCUGGAGCCACAAUUGGUCUCAUCUGCUCAAUCUCCCGGAGGCUGUCUUUGCAUGCAAGUCCAACAACAGCUGUGGGACCUCAAGCAUGAAUACGGUAGACUCCAAUUUCUGUAAUUGCUGA